rnacentral:misc_RNA from 1 species
CAAUACUCAAAUCUAUGCCUUUGUGUAUGGGUUUGGACUUGAAGGGUUUGCUGGCUUUUUGGAGCUGGCUCCUUUUAAAUGCAUUAGCUGGCUUUACGUGCCUGUUUUUCAGUGUUGUAAUUUUUAAUACGCGCUGUGAUGAACUAGUUCGACUUGCCGCUGAUAGACAACAUAUUUCUAUGU